CACUUAUACACACAACUGUAUAUUUGUUCAUAGGAGAUAGGGAUGUAGUCACCAGGACUCUGAGUUAAAAGCUGAUCUAUGGCACUGUCCAACUUUGGCCAAUAUGUGCUCUUAUAGUCUUCAAUCGUUAUAACAUUCAUUAGGAACUUGGAGGUGGAGGCGUUGAUGUUGAUGGCGGCGGCGAUGGCUCCCGGCCCCCCCUUGCCCGCAGCGCUCGCCGGGUCGCAGCCCCUCAGCACGCCGUUGGCCUCGGGCUCCGCGGACAGCAGCGGUCCGGCCGGGGGCCCCGCGGGGCCGCGCAGGAGGCGGUCGCCGAGAGGGGCGGCGGUGGCGGGGCCCAGCAGGUGCCGCCCGUAGGCGCCCCAGUUGUUGUGGUUCUGGUCGUCCAUCAUGGCCUCGCAGCCGCCGCCGCCGCCCUCCUCCUCCAUGCUCUCCUCCUCCAUGCCGCCGCCCCUGGCCGCGCGGGACGGGGUCAGCGCCCUCCACCCAUGCCGGCCGCGCUCCGCCGCCGGGGCUCGCUCCGGGCACGGCCCGCGGCCACCGGCACAGCCCGCGACCCGCGGCGCGACACUUUGCGGCAGGCGGAAGGCGGAAGGAGGCGGAGGGGCCGCGCCGCG
rnacentral:lncRNA from 1 species